rnacentral:misc_RNA from 1 species
AUCCCUGCGCGGCCCUCACCUG